CAGCCGCCGCGGUAAUACGGAGGGGGCUAGCGUUAUCCGGAUUUAUUGGGUUUAAAGGGUCCGUAGGCGGACUUAUAAGUCAGUGGUGAAAGCCUGUCGCUUAACGAUAGAACUGCCAUUGAUACUGUAAGUCUUGAGUAUAUUUGAGGUAGCUGGAAUAAGUAGUGUAGCGGUGAAAUGCAUAGAUAUUACUUAGAACACCAAUUGCGAAGGCAGGUUACCAAGAUAUAACUGACGCUGAGGGACGAAAGCGUGGGUAGCGAACAGGAUUAGAUACCCCCGUAGUCCCUGUCUCUUAUAC
rnacentral:rRNA from 1 species